ACUCACCGUGCCAGGCUCCAUGCUGAAACUGAUUAGCAGCAGGACCUGGGCCACCAGGACGGCGAAGGACAGGUUGGCGUGGAUGUGGUAACGCUGGUUCCGAAUGGUGCUGACGGAACUGAAGACAGAGAGGCGGGUGGCUGGAAUGCAAACCCCCUUCCCCCAGGGUCUUCAAAGCCAGAGAGAGGAAUGGAUGGAGAGACAGGAUGCACUGAUAUUUCCAGGAAGUUGCUAGACUUCCCGGGGACCCAAGGAGAGGGUGACUCACGACAGUACUGCGAAGGUGACCAGUGUGGCAGCCAGGCAGAGAACGGACAGAGAGCAGCCAACGUAACUGAUGGACGACAGCGCCACCUGGUGUCCGAGCGUGAGCUGCAGGAACAGGAGGAGAUGAGGGAGGCUGGCCUCCCAUCCCAUCCCCUGGCUGGGAUGGUGCCAUCGUGGAUACACCCACAAUGCUGGCCUUGUGACUUGCCACACAGAGAGCUAUACCACACUGGACUUCAGGGUUGGCAUUUUCCCUGCUCUGAGUUGCUACACUGUAUCCCCUGGCUUCCCCCACAUUACCCCCAUAGUCCCAGCCAUGUCUGAAUGACUGAUCUAGGAUGAUCAGAGAGACAUGUGCCUCUUCUGGCUAUGAAAUGCAGGGGGCAACAUUGAGAGGCUUGAGGUGGGUACCAGUGGAUCCACAGACAUAAGGCUAGGAAGGCUACAUACAGCAUGUUGGGGGAGAAAAUACGCUAAGCCACAGAGGAUCACUCCUGUCUCUUGUCCUCGGUAUCGCUAACCCCCACAUUGACAGUCACCACGUGCAUAUCUUCACUGGCAGGCACACACAAGCCCUUGGGACCUUCUAUUAAAUGGACACCCGUGUGGUCACCUA